rnacentral:rRNA from 1 species
GACAGAGGGUGCGAACGUUGUUCGGAAUUAUUGGGCGUAAAGAGCUCGUAGGCGGUCUGUCGCGUCUGCUGUGAAAACUCAGGGCUUAACCCUGAGCUUGCAGUGGGUACGGGCAGACUAGAGUGCGGUAGGGGAGACUGGAAUUCCUGGUGUAGCGGUGAAAUGCGCAGAUAUCAGGAGGAACACCGGUGGCGAAGGCGGGUCUCUGGGCCGAUACUGACGCUGAGGAGCGAAAGCGUGGGGAGCGAACAGG